GGUUUUGGCUCAGUGGUAGAGCGCUCGCCUAGCACGUGUGAGGUCCUGGGUUCAAUCCUCAGCACCA
rnacentral:tRNA from 1 species